AUGAUCUGGAUGAAUUCCUGAGCUCAGACGGUUUAAUAUGGAUGAGCAUCAGGUCCUGCAGGCAACAGUCUGCAACGGGUGUUGCUGGCGCAGGUAGAAAUUUGACCUUGCGCUCUCGCGUACUUACGUUUGACUUGCUCCAAACUGGGCUGCUUGGGUCGAGCCAUGAUGGAAAGCUGGACUGGCGAUGGUGCGAUCGAGUGUUGUCUUGAGCCAGGAAGCGGACUACUUAGCAACUUGGGCGACACUUUGCCAAAGCAUCAGGAGACAACUUUCAGCCUCUUCUCUGCCCCCCUUUGCAGCGUCGCGCGUAUUAAUAAAUAACUUCGCCGUUCCCUUCCUUCGAAUGAUGGUGGGGACACGAAGGAGGAAGUGUGCAGACUAGAAAGGCUCUUGGCGGUAACGUACCAUCUGGCGGCGGUGGCGACUGCUGCUCCCCUCCAUUACAGACUUCCAGUUGUAAGGAGGAAGCGCUGCUGCUGCUGCUGCUGCGCCGAGGCAGUUGGGUGUUAGCGACUGAUAAAGCGUCAGGGAUGCAGACGGUGCAGUAUCUGCUUUGAAGGGAUCUCGGGGCUGACCCGCUCCCUGUCUCGAGCGGCUUAAUCCAUUGUCAGCCAGGUGCCACGCAUUCAUCUCUCUUACUUCCCGCCCCCCGCCACCUAAUUAACCAGAAAGGCAAAGAAGCCCCAUGUUGUUGUGGCUAAACUCCAGCCGAGGGGUGGAUGGAGCAACAAGUCGGCGCAAUUAGCAAUGGGCUUGCAAGCUCCCAUAUGUAAGCUUAAGUUCAGGGCGUCUCGCAGGAGUCUUUCUCAUCACUUGCGCCAUCCAGACGAAUGGACAGGAGUAAGGCUCCUCCAUGUUACUUCAGAUGUUAUUCACCCAGAAUUAACUGUUGUUUUUUUUUUAGCAGGCAGAAGUAAGAGCAGAAAAUACUAAGAUGUUUUGCACAUGGAUAUUUUAAUUAUUGUAAUGUAUGAGACUUAUGUUACUUGCUUCCUUUUAAAAAAUAAAAUAAAAUAAAAGCCUGGUAUGGAAA